ACAAGGGUGGCUCAGUGGUUAGAGUGCUGGACUUGGAUCUGGGAGAGUAGGGUUCAAAUCCUGCAAACCUGUUAUGUA